GAGUAAUGGGGGAUAACGCAGCGAAAGUUGUGCCAAUACCGCAUACGCCCUGAGGGGGAAAGUGGGGGAUCGCAAGACCUCACGUUAUUCGAGCGGCCGACGUCUGAUUAGCUAGUUGGUGAGGUAAUGGCUCACCAAGGCGACGAUCAGUAGCGGGUCUGAGAGGAUGAUCCGCCACACUGGGACUGAGACACGGCCCAGACUCCUACGGGAGGCAGCAGUGGGGAAUUUUGGACAAUGGGGGCAACCCUGAUCCAGCCAUUCCGCGUGAGUGAAGAAGGCCUUCGGGUUGUAAAGCUCUUUCAGCUGGAACGAAACGGUAGAGGCUAAUACCCUCUGCUAAUGACGGUACCGGCAGAAGAAGCACCGGCUAACUACGUGCCAGCAGCCGCGGUAAUACGUAGGGUGCGAGCGUUAAUCGGAAUUACUGGGCGUAAAGCGUGCGCAGGCGGAUUGUUAAGCAAGACGUGAAAUCCCCGGGCUUAACCUGGGAAUGGCGUUUUGAACUGGCAGUCUAGAGUGUGUCAGAGGGGGGUGGAAUUCCACGUGUAGCAGUGAAAUGCGUAGAGAUGUGGAGGAACACCAAUGGCGAAGGCAGCCCCCUGGGAUAACACUGACGCUCAUGUACGAAAGCGUGGUAGCAAACAGGAUUAGAUACCCUGGUAGUCCACGCCCUAAACGAUGUCAACUGGUUGUUGGGGGAGUGAAAUCCCUUAGUAACGAAGCUAACGCGUGAAGUUGACCGCCUGGGGAGUACGGUCGCAAGAUUAAAACUCAAAGGAAUUGACGGGGACCCGCACAAGCGGUGGAUGAUGUGGAUUAAUUCGAUGCAACGCGAAAAACCUUACCUACCCUUGACAUGUCCAGAAUCCUGCAGAGAUGCGGGAGUGCCCGAAAGGGAAUUGGAACACAGGUGCUGCAUGGCUGUCGUCAGCUCGUGUCGUGAGAUGUUGGGUUAAGUCCCGCAACGAGCGCAACCCUUAUCAUUAGUUGCUACGCAAGGGCACUCUAAUGAGACUGCCGGUGACAAACCGGAGGAAGGUGGGGAUGACGUCAAGUCCUCAUGGCCCUUAUGGGUAGGGCUUCACACGUCAUACAAUGGUCGGUACAGAGGGUUGCCAAGCCGCGAGGUGGAGCCAAUCCCAGAAAGCCGAUCGUAGUCCGGAUUGUUCUCUGCAACUCGAGAGCAUGAAGUCGGAAUCGCUAGUAAUCGCGGAUCAGCAUGUCGCGGUGAAUACGUUCCCGGGCCUUGUACACACCGCCCGUCACACCAUGGGAGUUGACUGCACCAGAAGUAGGUAGCUUAACCGCAAGGGGGGCGCUUACCACGGUGU
rnacentral:rRNA from 1 species